CCUUAAAAAAAAUUUAAAUGGAUCUGACCGUUUAUUCAGAUCAACCGGAGCAGAAUCGAAUCUUACCAAACCGUAUCAACUGGAUAAAAAACUGAAUGCCAUUUCGAUACCUGUUUCAGUACCCUGUAAGACUGGUUCCUUACCAGUUCAACCUAUACCAGACUUAUCGGUACGGAAACCAGACCGGCCCGACCAAAACCCUGUCCAGUUGUCAGCCUUAAAUUGAGAAUUGAGGUGUGACAUAUAUAUCCCUUAUUUAGAAGGGAGAGUUGGAGAGGACUAACACAACAUUAGAUAAUUAUACCAAAAGUAACAUCAAUUGUACCAUAAAUUUGAAUUCAUUUUAUUUUUUUAUUUUCUUACUAAACCACGUGGAUCCCUUUUUGAAAGACACAUAUUUUUUUUGUCUUUGUGGGAGACAACUGGCCUCCACAUUCAUUUUCACUUGCACUCCCCCAAGUACUCCUCCAUUUUUCUUUAAUUUCUCUCUUUCUCUCACUACUAAGCCAUAUCUUUUCUCUCCAUGGUUGCUUCAUUCCUACGCUCCGUGGUUGAAGUUGAUGGAUGCUACAAUGAGAGUUAGUGCAUAACCAUGUCUUAUACUUGGUCUCUUGGUUACUGCUUUAGCAACUAGCCAUUAGUAUUCACGUGGUGCUUUCAUGAUAUAGAGGAGGUGCAUUCCCCAUGGAGAUAUACUCUAUAUAUCACCAAGCUGCAUAGAGCAAACAAAACUCUUUCUAGAUUCAGAUGAAAAUUUUUAAUUUAUGCAGAUUUUGUAUGAUGAUUUAUGCAAAUUAAGAAGCUGUGAUUUGUUGUUGCAAGCAAAGCACACAGUAACUGAUGAAGAUAAGAGUUAAGGAGAGAGAACAUAAUGCCAAAUUGCGUUUUGUUACCAUGCAAAAACAGGGAGCAAUAACAUUUAUUUAGAGAUGAGUAUUAGAAAAGACUAUCUGUAACUGUAAUGUUUUAUUUUUGGGAUGAUAUUAUGCACUUAUUACAAUUCAAUUUAAAGAAUCCUGAUUAGGAGCAUAUGAUAAUUUGUACA